UCCAGUCAGGUUGGGCACUCUGACAGCGGGCCGUUGCCAGUUUUGUCCGACAGUCGACAAUUUCUGAAGGGAGCGAGCGAGAACGUGAACCACUGAAAUCUCUUCGGCUCCGAAGACCGAGGCCAUGGCAGCUGGAAUCUUCACACUGAUGGGAGUCCUGUGUUUCACACUUGUUGCACCGAAGACGUACACUUCCGCCAGGCAGACUUCCUACUUGUCCUGCACUUCCUAUAACUUGGGCGAUUACGUCAUUCUGGACUGCUUCUAAGGAGGCGGACUUCCGUUUCCCACUCUCACCUGGACCGGGCCGGGGGGGCUACACGAGGAAAAAGCCAGCACCCGGCGCUUCGCCGUCAACGUGUCGCGGGAGAACUUCGUCAACCGGUGGGACACGAUCUACAAGUGCAAGGCCAAAUACUGGUACACCUCGUCUACCUGUUACAUCGGACGCGGAAUAGGAAGUUACGUCGGAAUAGCUUUCGGAGUUCUGGGUCUUCUCUUCCUCCUCUGCAUCUUCAUCAUAUGCAUCUGCAAGGCAUGCCACAAAUUGUCUGAAAAAAACGCAAGAUGGCGAGCCAAACGCACAGCCCCUUCUGCAGACACAUCUAUGGGGUACAACAAUCCGACCUACACGCACGAGGCGG